rnacentral:rRNA from 1 species
GGAAUAUUGCACAAUGGGCGCAAGCCUGAUGCAGCCAUGCCGCGUGUGUGAAGAAGGCCUUCGGGUUGUAAAGCACUUUCAGUCGUGAGGAAGGUAGUGUAGUUAAUAGCUGCAUUAUUUGACGUUAGCGACAGAAGAAGCCCCGGCUAACUCCGUGCCAGCAGCCGCGGUAAUACGGAGGGGGCUAGCGUUGUUCGGAAUUACUGGGCGUAAAGCGCACGUAGGCGGCUCGGAAAGUCAGAGGUGAAAGCCCGGGGCUCAACCCCGGAAUAGCCUUUGAAACUAUCGAGCUAGAGUCCAGGAGAGGUGAGCGGAAUUCCGAGUGUAGAGGUGAAAUUCGUAGAUAUUCGGAGGAACACCAGAGGCGAAGGCGGCUCACUGGACUGGUACUGACGCUGAGGUGCGAAAGCGUGGGGAGCAAACAGGAUUAGAAACCCGGGUAGUCC